CCCUUAGAUGUUCUGGGCCGCACACGCGCUACACUGAAGGAGGCAGCGUGUACUCCUGGAUCCAAAGAUUUGGGUAACCCGCGAAUCUCCUUCGUGCUAGGGAUUGAGGUUUGCAAUUAUCCUUCAUGAACGAGGAAUUCCCAGUAAGUGCAAGUCAUAAGCUUGCGCUGACUACGUCCCUGCCCUUUGUACACACCGCCCGUCGCUACUACCGAUUGAAUGAUUUAGUGAGGACUUCGGACUGGGACCGAUGCGGCUUUCGGGCUGCGUCGGUAUUCUGGAAAGAUGUCCAAACUGUAUCAUUUAGAGGAAGUAAAAGUCGUAACA
rnacentral:rRNA from 1 species